GUGGUUUAAUUUGAUACAAUGCGCAUAACCUUACCAACCCUUGACAUAUUAACAAGAAAACCUAUCCUUAACGGGAUGGUACUGACUUUCAUAUAGGUGCUACAUGGCUAUCAUCAGCUCAUGUCGUGAAAUGUUUGGUCAAGUUCUAUAAUGAGAAAAACCCUUAUUUUGUGUUGCUGAGACAUGCACCUAAGGAGAAUGUCCUUACAAUAAAAGUAAGCUGAGGAUCCAAGUGGCAUGCCAGCCCUACUAAUUGAGUGCCAGCAC
rnacentral:ncRNA from 1 species